UAUAUAUAAUAUAACACCACAUUUAAAAGGGGCAUACUUUAGGUAAACUUUGUUGAUAAUACUUAUGGAUAGUGCAUUAAUUAAGUAAAAUUAAGAGUGCGGGAGCUUUUAAACUGGUAAUUGAGUAUUGUUCCGUGUUAGUGUCAUAUAUGGGCAUUUAUAGUAAAAUAUUAUUUAUUGUAUCUGCUGGGAUCAAAGAAGCCAAGCAACACAUUUUCCCAUUGAAGUGAAACAAUAACAUGACAUUAUUAUUGGUACAAAACCAUCAACAUUUAAUUCAAUUUAAAAAUAAUGAUGAUAAAGAAUCAGACUGUCCCAUUUCCGGUGUCGGACUGCUGCGGCGGCGGAUGUUGAUGUUUUGCUCGGGAGCUAGCUGAACGAUGUGAACUGUACCGUCUCCGGGACGGUUGAUCUUUUUUUACAGUGGUUGUUCGUGGCGGUUCCACUCGUGCUUCUUUUUCCUCGGUAACGUUUCGCAGUGUCGUCGGCAUCGUGUCUGUCCCGGUGUCUCUCCCGGGGAGCGCGAGGCCGAGUCGUGCGAUGAUGGAGGACUUUGACGAGAUCUACGAAGAGGAGGAGGAGGAAGAGGAGGACGAGGACAGGGCCGCGGAGGAGCAGCUCCUCAAGUACGCUCCGGACCCGGUUGUGGUGCGAGGGUCCGGCCACGUCACUGUGACUUGAGCACGGAAUCAGAGGUGAUACUCGGUAGUAGCUUUUGAAGAGGUUUGGGCUUAGUAACAAAUUUGGGUCAGAAUUUCCUUCAGCACUUACAGGAAAGGUGGCACCGGAGGAGUUCAAAGCCAGCAUCAACCGUGUGAACAGCUGCCUGAGGAAGACCCUGCCGGUGAAUGUGCGGUGGCUGCUGUGCGGCUGCCUCUGCUGCUGUUGCACACUGGGCUUCAGUUUGUGGCCCGUCAUCUGCCUCAGCAAGAGGACAAGACGAUCUAUAGAGAAACUUCUGGAGUGGGAGAACAGCAGGCUUUACCACAAGUUGUGUUUGCAUUGGAGACUGAGCAAAAGGAAGUGUGAAACCAACAACAUGAUGGAAUACGUAAUCCUAAUAGAGUUCUUACCUAAGAUCCCCAUCUUCAGACCGGACUAGCCCGACUGCGGCUGAUCUUAAACCUCCAGCUGCUGCUCGGUCACAGAACACAAUGGCUGCCAAGCUCCCGAAUAAAAUCCCCCAAUGUUUUCGUUUACAGGGUAGCAUCGAUCCUCCGCUCCCCUCUCUUUGACCCGUUCUCCCACACAUACACCACCCUCGUUGACAAAUCCAGCACCACCAACCCUUGUUUUUUGGAGCGAAUUCCCCGCUGAGCCGCGACCUAUCGGAGCGAGCCGGGGCACCGUUGAGCCUUGCUAACCAGCACCAGCCUAUGGGAUGUUGGGGGGGGGGGGGGGGGCAGGAUUAUGGAAUUUUGGAACUGACGCUGGAAACUGGACUCUUGAACUUGAGCUACGACUGGAAGUUGUGUCACUUGUAUGUCCCCUAACCUAAGCACAUGGCACAGUCAGACCGUGAUCAAACAAAACACCUUUGCAUCUUACCGAUUGUCUCACCGGCACACUUCACCUGCAAAAAAAAUAAAUAAAAAUACACCCCAGUGCUUUUGUAGCGGUUGGUUUGGCGCUCUGGAUCCUUUUCUCGAGGCUGCGGAGGCAACAUAUCAGAACUCUGAAUGGAACCGUCAUCCGAAUGGACUCUGUAGCGGAAAGACUGGUUUUACAGGGGAGGGGAGCCAGAACAGCUGAACUCUAUAAUGUCACACUUUCUUACCAGACACCCUCUCGCCUCACCCCCCCCUGCAUCACCCCUACCCCAGUGACAAUCACACCCGUGUGUGUGUGUGUCUGUCCAGGUGAUGGGCUGGCUGCCUAGCAACUGCUUCUUGUUCGCAGUGGAACAAGAUAAGCUGGAACAAAAGUCACUAGUGAUUAAGAGUAGACACCUUUUUUAUUUUUUAGUAUCUCAAGUUUUGUUUACUAUUUUUGUGAAAGAGAGGCAGUCAAUGACUUUCACUGUAUUUGAUUUCUGUGUGCGUGUCUUUCUGAGUGAGAGAAACCGAAGCAAAAACACAAGAGACGAAUCAGACAGGAAGAGAUGCUCUUUAGGGUUCUUUCUUUGACGCAUCUCUUUGCCAUAACCGAUCUGUGUUACUUUUGUUGUAGUAAUUUAUAAAUGAGUGCGCUUUUUAUCUGCACACUCAUGAAAUGGGCCUCCAAUUCUCUUUUUUAUUAAUAUUUCUUUUGCAAACAUAUGUCAUGGUUGUUUCCUGUCUGUCCUUAUGGUCAUGUGUCAACACCAAAGCACACAAUCGGUCCUUAAAACCUUCACAUGGCCUCUGUUCCUACCUGCUAACCGUGGCUUACUUAUCGGAGGGUUUCAAGUUGAGCAUUUGGCUCUUCUGAGAAAAGUUCCCCUGUCAUAGAAAUAAUCUGACUAAUUACAUUUAGAGGUCUUGGGUCUCCAAGAGCGUUAGGUCCUCUUCGUUAGGUGUUCGGUAAUACCGGGGUUCUGGAUCAUGAAGCAGGAUUACCGACGUUAGCUUGAUAACUGCACUAAACCAGACCACUCCCAAAUCAGGAAUGUGGACUCCAUCACUAAUCCGUGUUUCUAUAUUAACAAUGAAAAAUGACUGCUGUAAGACACAGUUGGCGACUAAACUGGUGGAGCGUUUUAGCGGCUAACGAGGCAAACAUUUCCCUCGGGAGUCGGUGGAGACCAAAAACGGAGCUUAAAGGACAGAGAGUCUUGGACUUGCGUUCAUCGGGCGGCCAGAAACCUUUUGUCCAGUUACCUAGCUAACAAUGCUGCGUAGUCAUAAAGGCCUGUGCUUAUUUCUUUAAACUGUCGACGUGUUAUAGAAGGCAUCAUAGAGCACAUCUCAGUUUAAUGAAAACAUACAGUCGUCUGCCCGUUAAAAAAAAAAAAAAAAAAGAGCGUGGCAUAUAUUAAGCUUUUGUUCUCACUCAGCACACCUCAUGAUUUAUAUAAAUGUAUAUUUUAAAGCAUCCAGAGACUGAGAUUGAACAAAAACCCUUUGUUUUAGGUCACACAGCUCCAGUGAUUGUAUGGGUCACACUCAGGGGGAUUAUACUUCUCACACCCACAAGUAGUAUUGGGAGAUCUCACUGUCAGGUAUGUUCCAAAGUCACAACAGGGGUGGGGGGGAGGGGGGUAUCGAGAACACAGUGCAGGUCACACAUUACUUGAAUAGUCUGUAGUGAAAAAUGCCCCGCGAAAAAACCCAGAGACAACCAACAAGGACGUGGUCUUCCUGUUUAGAUAGUGAAGGAAACGCGUUCAUGGACCCACAAACAGCCAUUGUGUUGGUUUACAUUGUAAAAGACCCACGCUCACUUGAUUACCACUGGGCUGCCUAUCGGCUUGUCAGUCACCUUUCUAUAUUUUUGAUUAUGGUCUGUUUCGUGUUAAUCAAGGCGUAAGGCCAUAAUGAAGAUAUUUGUGGCGUGCGUGUAUGCACGGUGUGCUGAUGCAAAUGUUCUACGUAGAUCUCAGACUGUGAUUGAACCCUGCACAGAAAAGAGUCCUUUUAUAUAUAUAUAAUCUUAAGUGGUCUGUGUGUGUGUGCGUGUGUGUGUGCGAGGAAGAGAAAUAUACAUGUACAUAUGACUCAUGUGCAGAUGUACAGUAAUAAACUACCAAUAAAUAAG